rnacentral:rRNA from 1 species
CAGGAUCCUGAGUACGGCGGAACACGUGAAAUUCCGUCGGAAUCCGGGAGGACCAUCUCCCAAGGCUAAAUACUCCCUAGUGACCGAUAGUGAACCAGUACCGUGAGGGAAAGGUGAAAAGCACCCCGGAAGGGGAGUGAAACAGUUCCUGAAACCGUGUGCCUACAAUUAGUCAAAGCCCGUUAAUGGGUAAUGGCGUGCCUUUUGUAGAAUGAACCGGCGAGUUACGUUUGCUUGCGAGGUUAAGAUGAAAAGUCGGAGCCGUAGCGAAAGCGAGUCUGAACAGGGCGAAUGAGUAAGCAGAUGUAGACCCGAAACCAAGUGACCUACCCAUGACCAGGUUGAAGGUGUGGUGAAACACACUGGAGGACCGAACCCAUGUAUGUUGAAAAAUGCUGGGAUGAGUUGUGGGUAGCGGUGAAAUUCCAAACGAACUUGGAGAUAGCUGGUUCUCUCCGAAAUAGCUUUAGGGUUAGCCUCGGAGGAUGGAUCAUGGAGGUAGAGCACUGUUUGAACUAGGGGCCCAUCAAGGGUUACUGAAUUCAGAUAAACUCCGAAUACCAUCGAUCUUACUCCGGGAGUCAGACAGUGAGCGAUAAGGUCCAUUGUCGAAAGGGGAACAGCCCAGAUCACCAGUUAAGGUCCCUAAAUUUAUGCUAAGUGGAAAAGGAUGUGGCGUUGCACAGACAACUAGGAUGUUGGCUCAGAAGCAGCCACCAUUUAAAGAGUGCGUAAUAGCUCACUAGUCGAGUGGCACUGCGCCGAAAAUAUACCGGGGCUAAGCAUAAUACCGAAACUGUGGGUGCACCCGUAAGGGUGCGCGGUAGGAGAGCGUUCUAAGGGCGUUGAAGGUCGAUCGUGAGGACGGCUGGAGCGCUUAGAAGUGAGAAUGCCGGCAUGAGUAGCGAAAGAUCAGUGAGAAUCUGAUCCACCGUAUGACUAAGGUUUCCUGGGGAAGGCUCGUCCUCCCAGGGUUAGUCGGGAUCUAAGGCGAGGCCGAGAGGCGUAGUCGAUGACAAGCAGGUUGAGAUUCCUGCACUAGUUUAUUUUGUUUAAGCGAUGGAGGGACGCAGGAGGCUAAGGAAAGCGCACGGCUGGAAAUGUGCGCCCAAGCAGCAAGUCUGACAGCGAGUGAAAUGCUUGCAGUCUUAAGGACAAGCUGUGAUGGGGAGCGAAAUUAUAGUAGCGAAGUUCCUGAUGUCACACUGCCAAGAAAAGCUUCUAGUGAGAAAUAAACUACCCGUACCGCAAACCGACACAGGUAGUCGAGGAGAGUAUCCUCAGGUGAGCGAGCGAACUCUCGUUAAGGAACUCGGCAAAAUGACCCCGUAACUUCGGAAGAAGGGGUGCUGACCGCAAGGUCAGCCGCAGUGAAUAGGCCCAAACAACUGUUUAUCAAAAACACAGGUCUCUGCUAAAUCGUAAGAUGAUGUAUAGGGGCUGACGCCUGCCCGGUGCUGGAAGGUUAAGAGGAUGAGUUAGCGCAAGCGAAGCCCAGAAUUGAAGCCCCAGUAAACGGCGGCCGUAACUAUAACGGUCCUAAGGUAGCGAAAUUCCUUGUCGGGUAAGUUCCGACCCGCACGAAAGGCGUAAUGAUUUGGGCACUGUCUCAACGAGAGACUCGGUGAAAUUAUAGUACCCGUGAAGAUGCGGGUUACCCGCGACAGGACGGAAAGACCCCAUGGAGCUUUACUGUAGCUUGAUAUUGAGUGUUUGUACCGCUUGUACAGGAUAGGUAGGAGCCGUAGAGAUCGGAACGCUAGUUUCGAUGGAGGCGUUGGUGGGAUACUACCCUAGCUGUAUGAACACUCUAACCCGCGCCACUAAUCGUGGCGGGAGACAGUGUCAGGUGGGCAGUUUGACUGGGGCGGUCGCCUCCUAAAAUGUAACGGAGGCGCCCAAAGGUUCCCUCAGAAUGGUUGGAAAUCAUUCGCAGAGUGUAAAGGUAUAAGGGAGCUUGACUGCGAGACUGACAAGUCGAGCAGGGACGAAAGUCGGGCUUAGUGAUCCGGUGGUUCCGUAUGGAAGGGCCAUCGCUCAACGGAUAAAAGCUACCCUGGGGAUAACAGGCUUAUCUCCCCCAAGAGUCCACAUCGACGGGGAGGUUUGGCACCUCGAUGUCGGCUCAUCGCAUCCUGGGGCUGUAGUCGGUCCCAAGGGUUGGGCUGUUCGCCCAUUAAAGCGGUACGCGAGCUGGGUUCAGAACGUCGUGAGACAGUUCGGUCCCUAUCCGUCGCGGGCGCAGGAAAUUUGAGAGGAGCUGUCCUUAGUACGAGAGGACCGGGAUGGACGUUCCGCUGGUGUACCAGUUGUGCCGCCAGGCGCAUCGCUGGGUAGCUAUGAACGGCAGGGAUAAACGCUGAAAGCAUCUAAGUGUGAAGCCCCCCUCGAGAUGAGAUUUCCCAUUCCUAUAUGGAAGUAAGACCCCUGAGAGAUGAUCAGGUAGAUAGGCUGGAAGUGGAAGUGCAGCGAUGCAUGGAGCGGACCAGUACUAAUCGGUCGAGGACUUAACCAA